rnacentral:lncRNA from 1 species
GCUCCAGGCUCCAGCCGUGCCUUUUCUCACACCAGAUGCUGCUGCGCCCACCACCUCGGCUCACCCCCGAGUCCCCGGCACGUCUGGCACGCAAAGGCUGGCCUCAGGUUUCUUGAAAGGCUUGUGAUUUUCUGCCCUGAGUUGCCAUCCAAAUGGCACUCCCCCAGCCGACUAAAAGGAUCUGACAGAUGUGAGCAAGAGCGAAGUUAUUAGCCCAUAAUGCUGGCACCUGCUUUACACCUCCAGCUGCUCAGAACAAG